rnacentral:lncRNA from 1 species
AUAGCCUAAGAUUGCUUUAGUUUGUGUAUGUAUAUACGUGUGUGUCAGGGCACAUUAUUGAUUCAUUGAAGUCUAUUAAAACUGGAGAGAUCUCUUUUAUACAUAGAGUUCUCUAGCCAUACCACCUUCAUCCUACAGAUGUACUAUUGGUUUUUUAAACUCACUGUAGAACUGUACAUUGAUCACAAUUAAAGAUGUCAUUUUAUUAGGUUGAGCUCAUUUUCUGGCAUGUGAAUCUGUUUCCAUUUUCAACCUCUUCACUCUCAUUUCUAGUUUUUCAUAAAAGAAUCAUCUAUGACUUCACGUUAUUGGUAAAAAUGUUGAGCAUCAUUGGACUAAGUACAAAUCUCUGGGGAGCUCCACUGGAAUUCUCCAUUCAGCCUCUACUUUGUGACCAGUCUUUGUACAGCGAUCCCUCCUUUGCUUUUACAUUGACUCGACAUCACCUUGAGACAAGUAAAUUAGAAAGGUGAAGUGAUUCACUGAAAGUCGUAUAACUACUUAAUAGCUGAACCUGGAUCAGAAAUCAAGUUUCUUAAAUCUGAAACCAGUGAUCUUUGCAUAGUACCAAACAGAAAGGAGAUAAACAGUAUAAGUAUCAGUCUAUUUCAAGGGGGAAGUCUUUUUCUAUUCUUCUUGAGAUGAUUUCUGUAGUAUGUGUUCCUUCUAGAUUUAAAUUGUAGUUGAGUUUUUAUCUUUCCUGGUAAUAACACUCCAAGGGACUGUAGGUGUCUUCAGUUUGAAUUUCUCUGAACCUUGGGAAUGGUGCUGCUGUUUAGCAAUUAUCCUCAUGGUUCCACAGGGGCUACACAAACAAACACAAAGUAUAUUGAGAAAUGGUACUGAUAUUGAUAAAUUAACAUGUACACAUGCUUAUACAAGUUAAUGAACAAAAUUGUAUGCUACAAUAAUUUAUAAAUAUGCCAUGUAACGAAUAACUGUGGUUUUAGAUUUCCAGUAACUUGAAUGAAAGCAAGUAAGGAUAAGAAUAGCCAACUACAACUCAGCCACCUUGGGUUUGAGUGUUGCCCCUGUCAUAGAUAACAUUAAUCAAAUCACCUUCUUUCUGGAACUCAGCUUCUUCAUCUACAAAAUAAGAAGAUUGACAUUCUAGAAAGCCAAUUUGGAACUAUAAUUCCAAAGUCACUCAACUGAAUAUACCUUCUGGCCCAACAAUACUACUAUUAAAAGUCUAUUCCACCAAAACAUCAAUGAAAGAUGGAAAGCACCAAAGUGCCCCAAAAUAUUUAUAGUGGCAUUUUAGUUUUGCUAUAAAGAAGUAGAAAUAAAAUAGGUGACCAUAAGUUAAAGAAGAGAAGA